GGCGGACGGGUGAGUAAUGCCUAGGAAUCUGCCUGGUAGUGGGGGAUAACGCUCGGAAACGGACGCUAAUACCGCAUACGUCCUACGGGAGAAAGCAGGGGACCUUCGGGCCUUGCGCUAUCAGAUGAGCCUAGGUCGGAUUAGCUAGUUGGUGAGGUAAUGGCUCACCAAGGCGACGAUCCGUAACUGGUCUGAGAGGAUGAUCAGUCACACUGGAACUGAGACACGGUCCAGACUCCUACGGGAGGCAGCAGUGGGGAAUAUUGGACAAUGGGCGAAAGCCUGAUCCAGCCAUGCCGCGUGUGUGAAGAAGGUCUUCGGAUUGUAAAGCACUUUAAGUUGGGAGGAAGGGCAGUUACCUAAUACGUGAUUGUUUUGACGUUACCGACAGAAUAAGCACCGGCUAACUCUGUGCCAGCAGCCGCGGUAAUACAGAGGGUGCAAGCGUUAAUCGGAAUUACUGGGCGUAAAGCGCGCGUAGGUGGUUUGUUAAGUUGAAUGUGAAAUCCCCGGGCUCAACCUGGGAACUGCAUCCAAAACUGGCAAGCUAGAGUAUGGUAGAGGGUGGUGGAAUUUCCUGUGUAGCGGUGAAAUGCGUAGAUAUAGGAAGGAACACCAGUGGCGAAGGCGACCACCUGG
rnacentral:rRNA from 1 species